rnacentral:rRNA from 1 species
GACGAACGCUGGCGGCGUGCUUAACACAUGCAAGUCGAACGGAAAGGCCCUGCUUUUGUGGGGUGCUCGAGUGGCGAACGGGUGAGUAACACGUGAGUAACCUGCCCUUGACUUUGGGAUAACUUCAGGAAACUGGGGCUAAUACCGGAUAGGAGCUCCUGCUGCAUGGUGGGGGUUGGAAAGUUUCGGCGGUUGGGGAUGGACUCGCGGCUUAUCAGCUUGUUGGUGGGGUAGUGGCUUACCAAGGCUUUGACGGGUAGCCGGCCUGAGAGGGUGACCGGCCACAUUGGGACUGAGAUACGGCCCAGACUCCUACGGGAAGCAGCAGUGGGGAAUAUGGCACAAUGGGCGGAAGCCUGAUGCAGCAACGCCGCGUGCGGGAUGACGGCCUUCGGGUUGUAAACCGCUUUCGCCUGUGACGAAGCGUGAGUGACGGUAAUGGGUAAAGAAGCACCGGCUAACUACGUG